UCUGACUAUAAAUAUGAUAUUU
rnacentral:snRNA from 1 species